UAUCAGGUUGGUGCAAAAGUAAUUGCAGUUUUUGUCAUUACUUUCAAUGGCAAAAUUGCAAUUACUUUUGCACCAA
rnacentral:miRNA from 1 species